CCUAAUUAAGUCCCUGAUUCUCCUACCGACAAAAAAGGCAGCUCCCAUUUGGAGUUUUUCUUGAAAAUGGGCAUACCCACAUGAGUUCCAACAGGAAUUAUGAUGCUAAUCAUGGUGAUGCUGAGAGUAAAAUGAUGAAUAAUGAUGGAUUUGGAUUAUUACUGUGGUUGUAGGUGAAAAGGUGUUGAUGGGGGGUUUGAGAAAUUAAUGAAAGUUGAGUGGUGUGAAACGUGAAAUGGAGAAACUUUAGGGCUAGAUGGCAAAUCGUCGGCGCAAUCUACGGAAGAAGACAGGUGUGAGUGUGAUCUACUUUCCCACCAAUCCCAACCGUAUCCUUAUCCUGCCUACUUUCUUCUUUUGGGCUUGGGCUUGGGCUUGGGCCUUUCUGUCAAGCCCAAGUUCUUAGCAUAAUUGAGAUUAAAUAUCGUAGAAACCAUAAAUAAAAAUUGAUUUACCAUGUUUUUUUU